rnacentral:rRNA from 1 species
AAACUCAAAGGAAUUGACGGGGACCCGCACAAGCAGCGGAGCGUGUGGUUUAAUUCGUUGCUACACGAAGAACCUUACCUGGGUUUGACAUAUAGGUUGUAGGGAACUGAAAGGGACCGACCCUUCGGGGAGCCUAUACAGGUGUUGCAUGGCUGUCGUCAGCUCGUGUCGUGAGAUGUUGGGUUAAGUCCCGCAACGAGCGCAACCCUUGCCAUUAGUUGCUACGAAAGGGCACUCUAAUGGGACUGCCGGUGACAAACCGGAGGAAGGUGGGGAUGACGUCAAGUCCUCAUGGCCCUUAUAGGUGGGGCUACACACGUCAUACAAUGGCCGGUACAGAGGGUAGCCAACCCGCGAGGGGGAGCCAAUCCCAGAAAACCGGUCGUAGUCCGGAUCGCAGUCUGCAACUCGACUGCGUGAAGUCGGAAUCGCUAGUAAUCGCGGAUCAGCUUGCCGCGGUGAAUACGUUCCCGGGUCUU